rnacentral:rRNA from 1 species
AGUUCCGACCUGCACGAAUGGCGUAACGAUGGCCAUACUGUCUCCAACCGAGACUCAGUGAAAUUGAAAUUGCAGUGAAGAUGCUGUGUACCCGCACCUAGACGGAAAGACCCCGUGAACCUUUACUACAGCUUGGCACUGAACAUUGAACCUACAUGUGUAGGAUAGGUGGGAGGCUUCGAAGCACAGUCGCUAGAUUGUGUGGAGCCGUCCUUGAAAUACCACCCUUGUACGUUUGAUGUUCUAACAUUGGUCCCUUAUCGGGAUUGUGGACAGUGUCUGGUGGGUAGUUUGACUGGGG